rfam:Intrasporangium oryzae NRRL B-24470 contig58, whole genome shotgun sequence.
GGGGGUGAUCGGUUUCGACGGUGGUCGACACAUCAGGGGAAGCGGGUCGAGGAUGCAGGGUUAUCUCGUAAACGCUCCUUGCACAACAAUAGGUGCCAACUCCAAGAGCACCGACUUCGCCCUCGCCGCCUGAGCGAGCCUCGAAGUCCGUCAGCCUGAGGUAGUUUCCGACUCAGUGCCUGGCGUCAGCUAGGAAACUUGCUGCGUAGUCAUGUUGGGGGGCUGCGCGGGACUCUUACUCAACUGGGCCUGUCAGGGGACGUGUGCGUGCGAGCCCUGGGGCCGAGAAAAGCCGUAGCGCACUGCACCCGGAGAAGUCCUGGUCUCUCGUCAUCGGACGCGGGUUCAAUUCCCGCCACCUCCACCA